GGGUUGUGAGGUUAAGCGACUAAGCGUACACGGUGGAUGCCCUGGCAGUCAGAGGCGAUGAAGGACGUGCUAAUCUGCGAUAAGCGUCGGUAAGGUGAUAUGAACCGUUAUAACCGGCGAUUUCCGAAUGGGGAAACCCAGUGUGAUGCGUCACACUAUCAUUAACUGAAUCCAUAGGUUAAUGAGGCGAACCGGGGGAACUGAAACAUCUAAGUACCCCGAGGAAAAGAAAUCAACCGAGAUUCCCCCAGUAGCGGCGAGCGAACGGGGAGCAGCCCAGAGCCUGAAUCAGUGUGUGUGUUAGUGGAAGCGUCUGGAAAGGCGCGCGAUACAGGGUGACAGCCCCGUACACAAAAAUGCACAUAUUGUGAGCUCGA
rnacentral:rRNA from 1 species